GGGCCGGUAGCUCAGUGGUAGAGCAGCUGACUCUUAAUCAGCGGGUCGUCGGUUCGAAACCGACCCGGCUCACCA
rnacentral:tRNA from 1 species